GGAGAAGUAGGUUAAGGUUAGGAGAAGUAGGUUAAGGUUAGGAGAAGUAGUUUAAGGUUAGGAGAAGUAGGUUAAGGUUAGGAGAAGUAGGUUAAGGUUAGGAGAAGUAGGUUAAGGUUAGGAGAAGUAGUUUAAGGUUAGGAGAAGUAGG